rnacentral:rRNA from 1 species
AAACUUUCAACAACGGAUCUCUUGGUUCUGGCAUCGAUGAAGAACGCAGCGAAAUGCGAUAAGUAAUGUGAAUUGCAGAAUUCAGUGAAUCAUCGAAUCUUUGAACGCACCAUUGCGCCCUCUGGUAUUCCGGGGGGCAUGCCUGUUCGAGCGUCAUU